AACAAUGAUACCAGGACCAGAUACGAACAAUAUAAACAGUU
rnacentral:sRNA from 1 species